GGCACUGCGGGAAGGCCGGAUGGAACCAGAGGCUGGAGACUGAGUGGGGGGCCAGGAUAAAGGAAGGGAGGUCGGGGCAGGAGUGUGGAUGGGGGCAGAUGUUGAAGGAAGGACCCGGGGCUCCCACAGGGCCGGAGCCCAGAGGUGCUGUCCGGGGCGACUGAGCUGGGUGCGAGGCUGACGCUCUCCACGCUCCCACCCCUGCAGGUCUUCUCCCCUGGGUGCGGAAGGACGCGCUGGGAGAGGGAGGUCUUCUCAUUGACACUGUCACCGCAGCUGCAGCAGCAGAAGGGACACACUCUCCUGUGUGAAUUCGCUGGUGGCCGAUCAGCUUCCACCGGUCCCCAAAAACCUGCUGGUACUGGGGACAGACGCAGGGCUUCGGCCAGUGUGUGCUCCUUGGUGAGCCAGCAGCAGAGCUGGCCGCUAAACCCUUGCCGCACUCCCGCAGACGAAUGGCUUCUCCCGAGUGGACUCGCUGGUGCUUGAUGAGGUUGGAGCGGCCACAGCAGGUCUUGCCGCACUGGGGACAGCGACAAGGUCUCUCGCCAGUCGCUGUGGACCCGCCAGUGCUGGAGGAGGGAUGCGCUCUGAGUAAAACCCCUCCCGCAGGCCUUGCACUUGCAGGGCUGACGGCCCUGGGUGAAUCUGCCGGUGCUGCAGCAGCGGAUACUUGGCUCUUAUCUCAGGACCUGACCUCCCACUGAG
rnacentral:lncRNA from 1 species